rnacentral:rRNA from 1 species
CGUGAGUAACCUGCCUUGGAGUGGGGAAUAACACAGAGAAAUUUGUGCUAAUACCGCAUAAUGCAGCUGAGUCGCAUGGCUCUGGCUGCCAAAGAUUUAUCGCUCUGAGAUGGACUCGCGUCUGAUUAGCUUGUUGGCGGGGUAGGGGCCCACCAAGGCGACGAUCAGUAGCCGGCCUGAGAGGGUGGACGGCCACAUUGGGACUGAGACACGGCCCAAACUCCUACGGGAGGCAGCAG